rnacentral:lncRNA from 1 species
UACUACACAAAAAAAAAAAAAAUAUAUAUAUAUAUAGAAUUACUCAAAUUUAUUAAAUAAGACUACGUGUGUUGCUUAUGCAUAUAUGAAGUAAAUAGGGGAAAUAUAUAUAUAAAUACAUAUAUGCCUAUAUUUAUUUAUUUAUUUUAUUUUUUUUUUUUUUCGUUUCAUUUUAUUUGAUUUAUUUCUUUUGUUUAAUUUGUUUGUUUAUCUGUUUGUUUGUCCGUUUGUCCGCUUGUUCGAUUAUUAUUAUUUUUACUAUUUCAUUUUAUUUUUUUUAUGUCAAAGCAUUACCAAGUAAAACAUUGAACAAACUACUUGGAUCAAUUUUUUAGUUUACCCUCUAAUAAAAAAUCUUUUUUUUUUUCGUUUAUUUUCUUUUUUGUUUAAAAACUGGAUCAAUAUGAAUUGUUUAUCAGCCUAUAAGUUUUUUUGUUUCUUCAUUUUGUUAUUUUAUAAUACAAUGGACACUUUUUGUUUAAGCAAAAUUGAGCAUAAUGGUAGUACAUUAGCAAUGAACGACAACAUACCAGACAAAUUAAACCAUAUGACAAGCCAAUUAAUAAAUAUAAUUAAAAAAAAAUCUAACAAUGUUAGAAUGUUGUACAACAAACUAAAUGGAAAUAAUAAGCAACUUCCUCUGUAUGUUUUUGUAAAGGAUGAAAAUGAAAAAAAACGACAAAUUCUUAAGGACUUAUAUUUAAUGGGAAAGCUACACCUUCUCCAGGGUCAUAAUACCCCCUUGUCAAAAUAUUAUUUAGCUAUAAAAAAUAGAAAUGUAGCUACUAGUAUAUUACUAGAUGAAAAAUUAAAGAAAGAGCGUGAUUUUAUAAAUAACCUGAAUGAAGAAGAUAAAACUAAUUAUGUAAAAGGAAAAAUUACAAAAUACGAAAAUCUUAGGAUAAAUGCUCAACAGUUAUAUUCAAAUCUAGAAAAAAAGUUGAACUCAUUAGAAGAAAUUAUAGCGAUUUUAAAAAAAUAAAACAAAAACAACAAAAAAGCUAAGUAAACCCAAAUGAUAAAUGAAAAAUAUCAUAAAUGGUGUAUGUGUUUAGCUACUAUUAACAAUGUUACUAUUAAUGCUACUAGUAGUAUUAUUUUUACUAUUAGAAGUAUUAUUGUUAUUAUUUUUUAGUAUUAAUAUAAGUGUUAUUUUUGUUAAUAUUAUAUUUUUAAUACUCUCAAGAACACAUUUUGUUUAUAUUUAGUAGAUGUUAAACAUUAUAUAUAUAAUAUAUAUACUUAUAUACUCACACAUGUGUUUUUUUUAAGUGAUUUUUUUUUUUUUUUUUUUUUUUUUAUAUUCAAAGAAUUAUAAACUAAAAAUAAAGUAAUUAUUUUUUUUUUUUUCGAUUUACA